UCGAGAAUCUUCCGCAAUGGGCGAAAGCCUGACGGAGCGACACCGCGUGCAGGACGAAGGCCCUCGGGUUGUAAACUGCUGUCACGCUCUAGGAAUCCCGUGUUGUGAAUAGCAGCACGGUUGACUAAGGCGAGAGGAAGUGGCGGCUAACUCUGUGCCAGCAGCCGCGGUAAGACAGAGGCCACGAACGUUGUUCGGAAUCACUGGGCAUAAAGCGCACGUAGGCGGCUAGGUCCGUCCGAUGUGAAAGCCCCCGGCUCAACCGGGGAAUAGCAUCGGAUACAGCUUGGCUUGAGGACGGUUGGGGUGAGUGGAACUCCUGGUGGAGCGGUGAAAUGCGUAGAUAUCAGGAGGAACACCGGUGGCGAAAGCGGCUCACUGGACCGUUACUGACGCUGAGGUGCGAAAGCUAGGGGAGCAAACGGGAUUAGAUACCCAAGUAGUCCCUG
rnacentral:rRNA from 1 species